CACCCUUCUGGCAAUGGGCAAAGAGACACCUUGUUGGUGCUGCUGUUCUUCUGACAGUCAAGGGCAGAUCUAGUUCUUUGUUCACCCCAGCUUGAUGCCUCGCUUGGUGCUCAAAGCUGUCUUAUGCCUAGGACCCAUAA